UAAAAAAUUAUUAUUUUUUAUAUUAAUUUAUUUAAUUUAAAAAAAAAAAUUUAAUUUUAGUAUAUAUGAAAAAAAAUUUUUUUUAUUAUAGUUUAUAAGUAUUGUGAAAGAAAUAUUUAAUUAAUUUUAAAGAAAAUUUUUAUUUUGUACCUUGUGUAUCAGGGUUGAUUAAAUAAAAAAAAAAUUUUAUUUUCUCGAAUUUAAAAGAGCUAAAAUAAUAAAUAUAUUAUUGUAGAAUAAAUAUUUAUAAUAUUAUUUUAGUAAUGAAACGUUAUUCGUUUUUAAUAUAUCUAGUUAUUUUAGAAAAAAAUUUAAUUUUUUUAUUAUUAAUAUAAAAUUUAGUUUUUAAUUUUAUAUUAUUAAUAGAUAAUUUAUAAAGGGAUAAGCUUUUAUAAAAAUGUUUAAAAAUUAAUAGUAAAUAGAAUAUAUAUAGGAUUAGAAGUUUUUAUUAUUAAAAUAAUGUUAUAAUUAAUUUUCAUAAAAUAAUUAUUUAUAUUAAUUUUAAAUAUUUUAUAAAAUUUUAAAUUUUAAUUAAUAAAAUUUAGUAAUAAUGAUUAAAUAAGUAAAAAAAAAUUGUAAAAUAAGUAUAAUUUUUAGGUUAAAUAAAGGAAUUCGGCAAAAAAUUUUCCACCUGUUUAAUAAAAACAUGGCUUUUUGAAAAUAAUUUAAAGUCUGGCCUGCCCACUGAGUAUUUAAAGGGCCGCGGUAAUUUGACCGUGCUAAGGUAGCAUAAUCAUUAGUUUUUUAAUUGAAAGCUGGUAUGAAUGGUCGGAUGAGAAAAUAACUGUCUCUAUUUAAUUUUAUUUGAAUUUUAUUUUUAAGUAAAAAAGCUUAAAUUUAAUUAAAAGACGAGAAGACCCUAUAGAGUUUUAUAAAAUUUUUAAUUUAAAUUUUUAGAAUUAUAAUUUUGUAUUAAAAAUUUUAUUUGAUUGGGGCGAUUGAAAAAUUUAAUAAACUUUUUUUAUAUAUAAACAUUGAUUUAUGAAUUUUUGAUCCAUUAUUAUAUGAUUAUAAGAUUAAAUUACCUUAGGGAUAACAGCGUAAUUUUUUUUGAGAGUUCAAAUCGAAAAAAAAGUUUGCGACCUCGAUGUUGGAUUAAAAUUAAUUUUUGGUGUAGAGGCUAAAAAAUUAGGUCUGUUCGACCUUUAAAAUUUUACAUGAUCUGAGUUUAAACCGGUGUGAGCCAGGUUGGUUUCUAUCUUUAAUUAAUUAAUAUAUUUUAGUACGAAAGGACCAAAUAUAUAAUAAAUUAUUUAAAAUUGAAUUUUAUU
rnacentral:rRNA from 1 species